UACAUGCAAGUCGAACGCUUUGUGGUUCAACUGAUUUGAAGAGCUUGCUCAGAUAUGACGAUGGACAUUGCAAAGAGUGGCGAACGGGUGAGUAACACGUGGGAAACCUACCUCUUAGCAGGGGAUAACAUUUGGAAACAGAUGCUAAUACCGUAUAACAAUGACAACCGCAUGGUUGUUAUUUAAAAGAUGGUUCUGCUAUCACUAAGAGAUGGUCCCGCGGUGCAUUAGCUAGUUGGUAAGGUAAUGGCUUACCAAGGCGAUGAUGCAUAGCCGAGUUGAGAGACUGAUCGGCCACAAUGGGACUGAGACACGGCCCAUACUCCUACGGGAGGCAGCAGUAGGGAAUCUUCCACAAUGGGCGAAAGCCUGAUGGAGCAACGCCGCGUGUGUGAUGAAGGGUUUCGGCUCGUAAAACACUGUUGUAAGAGAAGAAUGACAUUGAGAGUAACUGUUCAAUGUGUGACGGUAUCUUACCAGAAAGGAACGGCUAAAUACGUGCCAGCAGCCGCGGUAAUACGUAUGUUCCAAGCGUUAUCCGGAUUUAUUGGGCGUAAAGCGAGCGCAGACGGUUAUUUAAGUCUGAAGUGAAAGCCCUCAGCUCAACUGAGGAAUUGCUUUGGAAACUGGAUGACUUGAGUGCAGUAGAGGAAAGUGGAACUCCAUGUGUAGCGGUGAAAUGCGUAGAUAUAUGGAAGAACACCAGUGGCGAAGGCGGCUUUCUGGACUGUAACUGACGUUGAGGCUCGAAAGUGUGGGUAGCAAACAGGAUUAGAUACCCUGGUAGUCCACACCGUAAACGAUGAGUGCUAGGUGUUUGAGGGUUUCCGCCCUUAAGUGCCGCAGCUAACGCAUUAAGCACUCCGCCUGGGGAGUACGACCGCAAGGUUGAAACUCAAAGGAAUUGACGGGGACCCGCACAAGCGGUGGAGCAUGUGGUUUAAUUCGAAGCAACGCGAAGAACCUUACCAGGUCUUGACAUCCCUUGACAACUCCAGAGAUGGAGCGUUCCCUUCGGGGACAAGGUGACAGGUGGUGCAUGGUUGUCGUCAGCUCGUGUCGUGAGAUGUUGGGUUAAGUCCCGCAACGAGCGCAACCCUUAUUACUAGUUGCCAGCAUUCAGUUGGGCACUCUAGUGAGACUGCCGGUGACAAACCGGAGGAAGGUGGGGAUGACGUCAAAUCAUCAUGCCCCUUAUGACCUGGGCUACACACGUGCUACAAUGGCGUAUACAACGAGUUGCCAACCCGCGAGGGUGAGCUAAUCUCUUAAAGUACGUCUCAGUUCGGAUUGUAGGCUGCAACUCGCCUACAUGAAGUCGGAAUCGCUAGUAAUCGCGGAUCAGCACGCCGCGGUGAAUACGUUCCCGGGUCUUGUACACACCGCCCGUCACACCAUGAGAGUUUGUAACACCCAAAGCCGGUGGGGUAACCUUCGGGAGCCAGCCG
rnacentral:rRNA from 1 species